UGAAUAUGUCUGGCAUGUGUAUUAAAAAGAUUUAAAAUGCACAUAAUCUUUUUAUUAAUUAUUAUUAGUAUUUUUAUUAGUUUAAGGAGAAUGUUAGCUUUGUAUACAUGUUAAUAAAUACGAAUCUCAGCCAAUCAGUAUAGUCUAGCUAGUCUUCAAUACUUUUAAGACAUUAACAAUGUAAAGGUUUUAAGUUUGAAUCUCCCCAUCCACCUUUUCUAAAAAAGAUUAUCUCCUGCUGUCUAACCCAUCAAUUAUAACCGACUUAUUGUGCUCUAUUAAAUCCAAAAAAAAAUAUUUAAUUGCAAUUUUGCAUUAUAAUCCCUGAACCCAACUCAUACAAGAAUUCCUGAACCCAAAAACCAAAAUACUAGGAGAACCGAAACAUCAGAGACCUUGUAAUGCUGCCAAAUCUUCUAGCAGCCAGAGUUGGAGCAGGAAUUGGAAAGGAAGAAAAAAUGGAAGCUUCCACAACAAGCAAAAGAGCCUUCCUGCUUACUAGAACCACCUCUUAAACUCCAAACCUAGCCAGCUGCUGGACAUUAGGAGCCAACAAACACCAUCAUCAAUGGCAACUUUCAAAUGGAAUAGCGGGUAGAGCUUAUUACAGCCUCUCAAUCUCUUGUAGCCUAUGGGAAG
rnacentral:misc_RNA from 1 species